rnacentral:lncRNA from 1 species
GACUGACAUGAAGGACUCAAGGGAAGCCUCUGAAAAGAAGAGACCAGACACUAAAAGGGAUGUGUGUGAAAUACUGGUUUUUAUUGGUUGGCACAAGAUUACAACCUACAAUUUCAAUGCCCUUCCCUCCCACACAGCUCAAAUGGAAGGAAACUGAUUAACACAUAGAAAGGAACGGCAGGCUCACAGGUUUAAGCAUUUGUUUUUACAAAAAGGAGUGGGAUAUGGGGGUGGUCAAGUUUUACGGGUAGUAACAACAUUAGAUGGCAGGGGGUAAGUCUGCCUGUCCUCCAUUGCUGGUACCACAUAAGGGAUACAUUAGUAAAGUAGGGAAAGGGUUAUAUGUGUGGCUGGCCUGUUCUUAAGAGAGGAAGGUGGGAUGGUAUCUGCUGUGUACCUGUCUCAGACCAAACCUGGGGCUGGACCAGUGCCCCUUUCUUCUCAGCCCUCCUCCACAGCCUGACUGUACUGCCAGCCGCACCCAUGAGAAGGAGGUGUGAAGGAAGCCUGAGGACAUCCACCUCGAGAAAAGGAAACAGGAAAACUAUUUCCUUCCGCCUUCUCUGGACCAAAUUUCACUCCCCUCAGCUCCAGAGAGUGCUGCAAAAAUCUUCCUUAGGGACGCUGUGAAGACACGGGGAAGAGGCCAGCCCUGAGCGGGCAAGAAGAAAAGCUUGAACUUUCCAUGCAGUACCAAGCAAGGCUAUUUUGGAAACAAGCAAACAAACAAAAAAUGGAAACCAACACCAUAUAACCACAGGUUGGGUAGCUCCUAAAUCCUGGACAGCAUUUGGAUUGGGGGUAAGGGCAAUUUUACUCCAGCUCCUUGUUUUAUAACCCGCACAAGGUGCCAAGAGGUUUAAGGACCACAACUGACCUCUCUCCCUACAAGCACCAUUCCUUGGAUUCCCAGUUUUGUUGAGCUCAUUUGAGGUCAUCCUUGCCAUCCUCUUAAAAAAUGACACAGCCUCUUGGUUAUUCCAUUUUCUAUCCCUUUCUACAAUUAUGAACACACUCUCUAAACAGGAGAUCUAUAUAUGCUCUCAUCCUGCAACCCAAGAGAUUAGGUGACCUAAUGAUGAGAAGGCUAACUUAUUUGCUUUCCUGGGUGGUCCUGAUGGAAAUGAACAGCAGCAGAGUUCUGGUGGGAUAGAGCAGUCUAGUCUGAGCCACUGUGUGAUUCCCCAGGGGACUGGUCCCUGGGUACAUGGGUCCCUGGCUCUCUGUCUCAGUUCCACAGAUAUUACUCAACUUGGCCAUUUACGCCUCAGCUAAAACAUAUGAGCAUGAGGGAAAAGGGACAAGAAAUACUUUUGUCCUCUAGAAAAACUUAACUCAAUACAUCUUGGCUACUUAGUCUCAACGCACGGGGUUCCCUGGAAACAUUUGUUGAACUUGGCCAAGAGGAGAUUGUAUAUGGAUGGCACACCUGGAAAAGGGGAGAAAGCACACUAGUUCAUCUCUUUUAUAAGUAGAAUGGUCCCAGGGAUGUUAACCUUUCUGAUGCUGAUGGUAGAUGAGUGGAGUGGAGGCAAUCGUGAGAAAACUUAAAAACCCUUAAGCUGUUUGGAGACUACACACCACAGUGGAGCAAACCAAGGUGGGGCCUCACUGCCUCCUCAGAGCCCAUCCCUGACCAUGUCAUUGGAUAGGAUGGAAGACAAAGUCUUUGAAAUGGAGGCUGGGCUGGCAAAAGUAAGUAUGAAGAUGCUACUACUGGCCUUCCACUUCCUCUCUCUGAUACACCUAAGAAGGUGAGAGACACUUGCUUCAAUUCCAUUUUACAACAGUUCUCAACAUCCUGAAAUACUCUUGACUUCCUUAAGCACAUGGAAAACUGGUGAUAUCCCAAGUGACACAGAAACACAGCUCCUCCGGAUGGUGAAGUCUCCGCUGCAAAACUCACGAAACAGCACAGAGGAUGACUCUAGGGUGCUCUCCCACUUGCUCCAAGUUAGGCAGGUGCCCUGGUGGAGGCAAGGCUGAGCCAUUAACAUGCACAGCUCCAUAUCCUGGAAGCCUCUGUAGCCUUGAGGAGAUAGGCUCUAUCCAACAGGACUCAGAAUAAAUGACUGCCACCUCAACUGAGCAGUAUGAACUGCCCACCUCAACUGGGCAGUCUGACCUCUUCCAUAGUCUUUAAGAAACAGAAGAGCCAUUUGCAUUAUUUAAUCACCAUUCAAUAAUCUCCUCCCUCCCCAUAGCUGCUUGAGUUAACUGUCCCACAAGUGUCCUGUGGUUUGUAAAGAUGAGGGUUAUUUUCUGAAAUGCAGAUGGGACUAGGAUGAAGCUGUAUUAUCAAUUACAGCCAACUCUCAUUUCUCUUAAAGCAAAAAUUCAUUCCACUGUGAUUUCUCCAGGUAUUUCCUGCAAUUCUAAAUCCACCCUUGAUAUUAGAGAAUAUUAAAAUCACACAGUUGUGGCAAAAAUCACAUUGUGGCUAUUAAAUCCUUUUUGUGAACUAAAAAAAGUGAAUGUGGCUUAGGCUAAGCUGUUUUUGUUUUUUGUUUUUUGUUUUUUUUUUUUUUAAAGAUGAGGAUGCGGACUCCAACAAAGGCAUUAAGAAAGUACUACAUGAAAAUGAGAAAUAUGUGAAGGAUAACAUGUGAAAUGUACACUCAGGUCUAACAAAUACCUAUUAUUUCUCUGGUUAAGAAGGUUUAGCAGGAGCCUCCAAUGAGCACUGUAUGUAGAGAAAAGGGAAGGAGCAGGAGGAGGAACAGAUCUGCACAGAAUUUUUUUCUUAAAAACCACAAAGGGUGACUUUUUUCUUCUAAGCAAGCAAGCCUAAGAGGCAUUACAUGGGCUGGCUCCUAAUAUCAAAACAAAAUAUUUCUUUGCCACAAAGGAACUUGACUAUGUAGCAACAUUUACAAAACUACUGCAAAACACUCCCAGAGGGCAGUGACCUACUCUGCUCCCCAGAGGCUGCAAGAAGCAAGGCCUCAAGUGCCUCACGUUCCAUGGGGCUGUGCAGUGCAAUGCAGAAGGCGGAAAUCCUGCUGUGACGCCACCCUCGAGACCUUCUGCAGCCUGAGAGGGGGUGAUACUCCCACACCCUUUGAUCCUUCCAGAUGGCUCAGCCUAGAUCUAGCAGUGAGAGAGCCCUCUCCAUGCAGGGCAGAUGGAGUGGUGGACACUUGUAAAAACAAAACACUAACUGUUCCAUCCUGUUAUAUUUGCUGUGAGGAAAAUUAAGAUUCCUGUUUUAUGGGCUGCACUGUUUCUGGAAGACUACAGAAAAUCUAACAUGGUUGACACUUCGUGGUAGCCCUUCUGUACAUACACACACACACACCCAGAGAGAAGACAGAGAGAAAAUCCUGGUCCAAAAGAUCACAUGACCUUACUAGUGUUUCCCCAAUGACUGUAAUUUAUAAACUAAAAAUUUUUACAAAUCCACUGCUAUCUUCUUCUGUCCUGAGUUUGGUAGACUUUAAUGGAUGCUCCAGCAAUAACCAGAAUCUAGGACAUGCAGACUCACUGUGAGCGAGAGGCUAGGGAUCUGCCCUAAACAUAGGAACCUGUUUCUAUCAAGCCUGAAUGAGGUCAGCUCUGAUAGAAUUAAUGACAAAUCAAUGUCAGUGAAAUAUUCUGCAAACAGGGUAGCUUUUGUGCUUUCUUUUGAUUAUUUUCUUUGGGGAGAUAAAGGUAUUGCAACCAUGGGUCUAACUAAUCUAUCACUAAAGGACUGUGACGACAUUCUCAAUAAAGACAGUCAUGGUGUUUACUGUGCCAAGGAGGGAAAAUCCCAGAUCAUCAGAAUCCCAGUGCAACAGAAAACAGCACCAGUUUCAACAAUUCUGAUGUUGGACAAAGCCUCUUUUUGUCAGUUAAGAAAGCAUAAGCACAAUCUCUCAGUCAAUUGCAUUAACAGGAAUCCAUUCAUGUCACUGAAAAAUACUUCUUGGCACAGUUCACUUUCCUAACCCAAAGACACCAACAACAAUCAAAACUGCACUUUCAGGGUAGUAUAUUGUUACACUAGCCCAGUCAAAACAUACUCAGAACAUUUAAAAAUGUAUAAAUUACUGUUAGCACUGCAGUUCCGUUUUAUUUUCUUAUUUAUUUAUUGAGACAGAGUCUUACUCUGUUGCCCAGGCUGGAGUGCAGUGGCAUGAUCUUGGCUUACUGCAACCUCUGCCUCCCAGGUUUAAGCAAUUCUCAUGCUUCAGCCUACCAAGUAGCUGGGAUUACAGGAGUGCACCAUCAUGCCCAGCUAAUUUUUGUAUUUUAGUAGAGAUGGGGUUUUGCCAUGUUGGUCAGGCUGGUCUCAAACUCCUGGCCUCAAGUGACCCACCUGCCUUGGCCUCCCAAAGUGCUGGGAUUACAGGUGUGAGCCACUACACCCAACCCUGCAGUCCCUUUUUAAAGAGUACUGACUGUUUUCCUGCAAAGUACUUUCAAAUCCAUACCAUAAAGGUAGAAUUUAUCUAGAAGAAUGUGUUUUUUGAAUUCCACCUGGCACUUGGUUAAAUCUACUUUAUUUUGCCCUUUAUUUAUUUGAACAGAACUUUAGAAUGCUCUAGGUCAGGAUAAGAAACAGUGUGUUCGUUUUUAAGAAGGAUGUGUGAAUAGUAAGUUGGCAUUCAGACUCAAGUCCCAUGGUAUUGUUCUUAUCCAAUGGGACCUCUCCUUGGGAAUAUAAUUUCUUUCCCAGAGGUAUCGUGGUAUCCCAAGAAUACAACUGCUCUUUGGCUCUGUGUGUGAAGACUGGGAGAGAGGAUGUAAACUAAGAGUAUAUAGCAAAAAAAAAAAAAAUUUUUUUUUUUUUUGAGAUGGAGUUUCACUCUUAUCAUCCAGGCUGGACGACAGUGGUGCAAUCUCGGCUCACUGCAACCUCUGCCUCCCAGGUUCAAGCGAUUAUCUCGCCUCAGCCUCCCAAGUAGCUGGGAUUACAGGCGCCCACCUAAUUUCUGCAUUUUUAGUAGAGACGGGGUUUCACCAUGUUGGCCAGGCUGGUCUCAAACUCCUGACCUCAGGUGAUCCACCUGCCUCGGCCUCCCAAAGUGCUGGGAUUACAGGUGUGAGCCACCGUGCCCAGUGAGUAGACAGCAAAAUUUAAAGUUCACCAACUGAUGUUCCCAAAAGUGCUGAACACUAAAUGACACAGGGCUAUGAGGUACAUACAUUUCUUUUAGUAGGAGGGAAAAGUAAAAGCUUUUCAAAGUUUGAGUGCUUUAUUAGAAUUUUUAAAUGAGGCGAACUAUGAUUUUAAUUUCACAUCUUGGCUAAGGAGAUGCCACUGGAGUACAGAGAUAAUCUCCUGUCUUAAGCCACGGAUCAGUCAGUGUAGCCCUCCCUACCCCUCAAUCUCGAGACCCUCUUACUUCCGAACUAAACAACACAAUUGGCAAAUGAAGCCAGCACGAAACCUGUAUCAAAAAACAAGAGAGUCUGCAGUGAGCCAGUGUAUUAUGUAACCACUGUAAUAAGUGAUUACGUGGCCUCCCAUAUGGACCUUUCAUAUCCUGGUGGGAGAUGGGAGACCAAUUUAAUAGCUCUGAGCAUGCUCCAUGGUGCAAUCACAAGUGCCAUGCCAAUACAAAGACAAGCAAGCAGGUGAAUUUCCCUAGUGUACUUUUCAGGAACACGGUUACUCAGUUCGGGGACAGGAAUACACUGAUGCACCUGCAAAGUAAAGUUGGAUGCUUCAGAGCACAUGGACGAUACCCAGGUCAGCACGGUGUAAGGCAUAUAUGGACACAAAGAGAGGCCAUUGUUGGCAAUAAAUAGCAUUACGGAAAAGAUUCCAAACCAGCAGGACAGAAAUGGACCUGAUGCUCCAGUUUUUUAGAUAAGUAAUCCCAAGAAUCCAGUUCAAACUCUACUGUCAACAUGUGGGGCAGAAUUCAAUUUCUAUCAUUGUUUUUACAGAUCUGGGCUGAGGCCAUUUGCUCCUUGCUUGGUUAAAAAAAAUAAAAAAAUUAAAAAAGGUUUCUUCCUGUUUCUUUCUGGGCAGGGAAAUACAGCUUAAAGAAGGAAAGGCCAUGAGUCCUGGGAGCACUAUGAAGGUAGCUAAACUCUUCCCAUAUCUACAGUCAAUGACUGGGAAAUAGAGAAAGGACAGGGCAACCCGCCCAGCCACUAGCAUCAAAAACAAAAAGGUAUGUUAAUUGUGAGGCUCUCAAUUCUAGAAAUGCCCAAAUUAAAAGAGAAAAAAACCUUGAAAAAUUAAACAAAUUUCUCUUUCUAGAAGUCAUUUAUUUACAUAUUAUAUGUCCGAUAUAUAAUGUGUAGAUAAAUGUAUCCUGCAGUGAAAGUGACCACUCUACUGAACUGUACAGCACAUUAUAGGACAAAUUAUUGGAAGUUUUCAUCUCAUACUGGUAUCUUUUAAUAAAAAAAAAAAAAUUAAAAAUCAAAGAAAACGUCUGGCCAGGGCCAGGAUAAGACAAACAGGAACACUUCAGAAUCCAAGGCAGGGGAAGGCUGUUGGCCUCUCUUCAGAGGACUGCAGGGGUGGGAAGAGGGAGGGACAGAUCAUGCACAAAAGUACUUACAAAUUACACACCCAACCCCCACUCUCAAUAAAAACAGAAGAAAAAGCCCCAUCACUUAACACCAAACAGCAACAUUAUCAAUACACCCUUUCUUUGCUGCCCACCAUGCCUUAUUUGAAAGAGGAGGCCUGUGAGAAGUGGAAAGAGCCAGGGUGAGAGGGAAGAUUUGCACUUCAGUCUAGUUUCCAAUUUCCAUUUCUCUUACAGGAAGUCUUCAGUCAUCUGAUGCCUGACAUCGAGCUCUGAGCAGAAACCGAGUAUGUGGUGGCCACGACUGGGGUGCCAUUGUUGGCUGAGUAGCCUUGCCUCAAUGUUUCAAAAUAUGAUGCCUGCACGGGUUUGUGAUACUGCAGCACUUUUAUGGCGUCUUCUAUUUUAAACCAUUCCCUCUUCCUUCCUGUG